AGCUCUUGUAGGGAACAACAAAAUUGCUGCAGUUAAAAAGCUCGUAGUCGGAUGUUUCGGGAGUUUGUUGUAAUUUGCAUGAUGUGCCGAAAGGCGCGUCGUUUGGCGAGUUACCCUCUCGACUUUGAAGUGGACUCACGUGUCAGUUAAUUCUGUCUUGCGUGAUGUGAAGCUUUUCUUGCACUGUGAAUAAAACGAAGCGCUCCAAGCAGUUUGGAAAGACUGAACGAUAAAGCAUGGGAUGCUGUCAGAAGAUCUUGGGAUGACGUGUUGUCGGUGAUGUUGUGAUCCUAGAUAAUGAUUACAGGAGCAGUUGGGGCGAUUGGUAUUGCAGGGGUACCGGUGAAAUGGAGAUCCUUGCAAGACUUACGAAAGCGAAAGCAUUUCGCAAGGAUGUUUU
rnacentral:rRNA from 1 species